rnacentral:rRNA from 1 species
GAUGAACGCUGGCGGCGUGCCUAGUACAUGCAAGUCGAGCGAACAGACGAGGAGCUUGCUCCUCUGACGUUAGCGGCGGACGGGUGAGUAACACGUGGAUAACCUACCUAUAAGACUGGGAUAACUUCGGGAAACCGGAGCUAAUACCGGAUAAUAUAUUGAACCGCAUGGUUCAAUAGUGAAAGACGGUUUUGCUGUCACUUAUAGAUGGAUCCGCGCCGCAUUAGCUAGUUGGUAAGGUAACGGCUUACCAAGGCAACGAUGCGUAGCCGACCUGAGAGGGUGAUAGGCCACACUGGAACUGAGACACGGUCCAGACUCCUACGGGAGGCAGCAGUAGGGAAUCUUCCGCAAUGGGCGAAAGCUUGACGGAGCAACGCCGCGUGAGUGAUGAAGGUCUUCGGAUCGUAAAACUCUGUUAUUAGGGAAGAACAAAUGUGUAAGUAACUAUGCACGUCUUGACGGUACCGAAUCAGAAAGCCACGGCUAACUACGUG